AGAGCAAUUAAGCAGAUGAGAAUUUAUUGAACCUUGAAUAACAGAAGUGGGAGAAAAUGAGGAAAGAUAGUGGCAGUUUCUAGAUGAGGAGAAUCCCACCCAACUGUUUUUCUGAGAAACUAUUCCUUUUAGAGUAGGCUCUGGAUGAUGGCCGGCCCUGCGUAAGAAUACACGUGACUUAAGUACUGAUACCUGGGUUCGUCCUCAGAGAUUUUGAUUUCGUAUGAGCAAGGAAAGGGAUAAAAAAUAAAGUUUAUUUUAAAUAAGUUUGUUUCCCAGGUGAUUAUUGUGCAAACCACUAUUGGACCACACCUUUAAAAGCAACUUCCGGAAGAGCCUGGCUUGCCGUUACCUUGAAGUCUCUAACAGGUCUGCGGAAACUCAAAGCAGGGUUUUGGAAGCAAACUGGCACGGGCUGCCAGGGGGCAAGCUGCUGGCUGAGCUUUUCCAUCCCUAAUGAAUAGAAUCUGGAGCCUACAGUAGCUGCCAUGCAAGUUAGCACUAUUUCAAACAAGACAAAACAGUGUGCAGCUGGUAACUGCUACCUUGAACUACAAACUCAGCGGCAGCUUGUAUUCAAUUUCUUGCAGAUGUGGUCGGAGCAAUGCAAUAGCUCUUUCGAAAGCCAGUGGUGCUAAUGUGGCAACAACCUGCUCUGAGGCCGAUGCGACCAUUGUUUUCCCUUAAAGUUACGAUCGAGCACCUGCUUUGGCUCCUUUGGUUGCCAUGGUCUGGAUCUGCAACUGUCUCAUUUGCGAUGAAGAUAAUGCAGGCAGGGUCUGACCAUCCUACCUAGAACCCCAAAGCUGUACUGCAAUGGUUCUCUACCUUCCUAACGCUGUGACCCUUUAAUACCCUUCCUCAUGUGGUGGUGACCCCAACCAUAAAAUUAUUCUCAAUGCUA